UACGUAGGGUCCGAGCGUUGUCCGGAAUUAUUGGGCGUAAAGAGCUCGUAGGCGGUUUGUCGCGUCUGCUGUGAAAUCCCGAGGCUCAACCUCGGGCCUGCAGUGGGUACGGGCAGACUGGAGUGCGGUAGGGGAGAAUGGAAUUCCUGGUGUAGCGGUGGAAUGCGCAGAUAUCAGGAGGAACACCGAUAGCGAAGGCAGUUCUCUGGGCCGUAACUGACGCUGAGGAGCGAAAGCGUGGGGAGCGAACAGG
rnacentral:rRNA from 1 species